GACGUAGGGCGCGAGCGUUGUCCGGAUUUAUUGGGUACGGUAAAGAGCUCGUAGGCGGCUCGUUGUGUCAAAUCGUGAAAACCCGGGGGCUUAACUUCGGGCUUGCCGGUUGAUAACGGGCGGGCGUGGAGUUCGGUAGGGGAGACUGGAAUUCCUGGUGUAGCGGUGAAAUGCGCAGAUAUCAGGAGGAACACCGGUGGCGAAGGCGGGUCGCUGGGCCGAUACUGACGCUGAGGAGCGAAAGCGUGGGGAGCGAACAGG
rnacentral:rRNA from 1 species